rnacentral:rRNA from 1 species
AUUGAACGCUGGCGGCAUGCUUUACACAUGCAAGUCGAACGGUAACAGGCCUUCGGGUGCUGACGAGUGGCGAACGGGUGAGUAAUGCAUCGGAACGUGCCCAGAGGUGGGGGAUAACGCAGCGAAAGCUGUGCUAAUACCGCAUGUGAUCUGAGGAUGAAAGCGGGGGACCAGGCAGCAAUGUUUGGCCUCGCGCCUUUGGAGCGGCCGAUGCCAGAUUAGGUAGUUGGUGGGGUAAAGGCCUACCAAGCCGACGAUCUGUAGCUGGUCUGAGAGGACGACCAGCCACACUGGGACUGAGACACGGCCCAGACUCCUACGGGAGGCAGCAGUGGGGAAUUUUGGACAAUGGGCGCAAGCCUGAUCCAGCAAUGCCGCGUGCGGGAAGAAGGCCUUCGGGUUGUAAACCGCUUUUGUACGGAACGAAAAGGCUCUGGCUAAUACCUGGGGCCGAUGACGGUACCGUAAGAAUAAGCACCGGCUAACUACGUG